GAACCAGUACCGUGAGGGAAAGGUGAAAAGCACCCCGGGAGGGGAGUGAAAUAGAACCUGAAACCGUGUGCCUACAACAAGUUCGAGCCCGUUAAUGGGUGAGAGCGUGCCUUUUGUAGAAUGAACCGGCGAGUUACGAUAUGAUGCGAGGUUAAGUUGAAGAGACGGAGCCGUAGGGAAACCGAGUCUUAAUAGGGCGUCAUAGUAUCAUGUUGUAGACCCGAAACCAUGUGACCUACCCAUGAGCAGGUUGAAGGUGAGGUAAAACUCACUGGAGGACCGAACCAGGGCACGUUGAAAAGUGCUUGGAUGACUUGUGGGUAGCGGAGAAAUUCCAAACGAACUUGGAGAUAGCUGGUUCUCUCCGAAAUAGCUUUAGGGCUAGCGUCGAUGUUAAG
rnacentral:rRNA from 1 species